ensembl:lncRNA
CAGAGAAGUGAGCCUGUGAUGGGUGGGAAAGAAAAAAUAGGAAAAGCACUGCUGUGGCUUGUGUCAAGAAAAUGACUCCCCAGUUACUUCAUUAGUCAGACUUUGCUCGUACCAGGUUGGACCUUCAGCUCCUUUAAUUCUUUGUGGCACAGAAUCAGUAAGGUGCUCAGAGGUUUUAGUCCAUAUUAACAUGAUAGCAUCACACAGUUGAUGCAGAUUUGUCAGCUGUAUACAUGAUGUAAAGUUCCUGUCCCUCCACCUUCCAAAGGUACUCUUUCGGAUUGAGCUCUGUUGACUAUGAAGGCCGUUUGAGUACAGUGAACUCAUUGUCAUGUUCAGCAAACCAGUUUGAGAUGACCUGAGCUUUGUGAAAACGUGUGUUAUCUUGCUGGAAGAGCCACCAGAAGAUGGGAACAAUGUGGUCAUAAAGAGAUGGACAUGGUCAGCAACAACACUCAGGAGUGGCACCUGGUGUGGUCUUCUGCUGCAGUAGCUGCUUCAAGAUUUAAAAGGUUAUGUGUUCAGAGAUGUUCUUCUGCAGACCUUGGUUGCAACAAGGGGUUAUUUGAGCUACUGUUACCUUCCUAUCAGCUAAAAGCAGUUGGGUCAUUCUCCUCCAACAAGGUAUCUUCACGCAGAGAACUGCCGCUCAUUUUCUUUGUUUCAGACCAUUCUCUGUAAACCCCUAGAGAUGGUUGUGUGGAGAAAUUUCAGUAUAUCAACAGUUUCUGAAAUACUGAGAUCAGCCUGUCUGACACCAUCAACCAUGCCACGUUCAGAAUCACUUAAAUCACUUUUUUGUCCCCAUUCUGAUGAUGUUGAAGCUUAAAAAAUGCAUCAUAAAGUAUUAAAGUGUUGCUGUAGCUUCAGCCUCGUUAGAAUAUUGAUCUUUUUCACACAGCUUUGAAGUAGGUGAAGUCGAGCCAGAAAUUUAACUUUUGGUUCCCCAUUCUGAUGCUCAGUUUGAACUUCGGCAGGUCAUCUUGACCAAUGUCAACGUGCCUAACGAGAAGCUGAAAAGGGCUGCCUAAUAAGGUAGCUGGUGAGUAUGACAACACAGCAUGGCAAGUUUCAGGCUUUGCUGGAAUUAAACAGUUAAGUAUUCAUCUUUUAAAUGACCUUAAAGAAAAUUUGAGUUCAUGGUAGAUGAGAUCCUUUCAGUGUUUUAGCUCAGUCAGUUCAACAUGUAGUUGAUAAUCCAUUACGUCAACACAUGGAGGUAACAACAUACCAUUUAAAAUUCAAUUUAAAGUUUGAUUUUGGAUGAUAUCUGAAAAAUAAAGUUUAACUAUGAG